GGCUGAUACACAGGGACUCUUGUGACAUCGUUAGGAAUGAAAGAUCAUUAGGAACUGUCCCCUUGGGCUCUAGUACUUUGUUUUAAUGUUGGAGGAUGGGGCUUAGCAAACCUCUCCUCGCCUGCUGAUUGCCUGGGGAGUGGGCCAUGUGGAAAAGCCCCUUUUCCUAGGAGUUAAGAUUCUGGGAUUUGAGUCCCACUUGUGCCAGCUGUGUGGCCUUGGGCAAGUAACUUCUCUCUGGUCUUCAGUUAUCCCUUCUGGAAUCUCCCAUACUGCCUUCUUGGUGAGGUUACAGUGAGAAGCUCAUGAGACCCGGAUGUGGCAGCACUCUAAACCAGGAAGCCACACAGACAAGAAAUGAUAUUGCUGUUAUUUGCCCAGCACGAGUUCAACUCAGCUUCAACUUUGCAGUGUGUGCUUCUGUCACUCCCUUACUGCCUCUAAUGACCCACUGAGACCCAAGGAGACCUGUUGGAGGUCACACAGCUAUGACAACAAUGGUGAUGGCAGUGUUGAGCUACGUUCCUUCAAGCUUCAAAUCCGAAUAGAAAAGUCCAUAGGUAAGAUGAUAGGUAGAUACGUACAUACACAAAUCGUCCUUUUGUUUUUUUGUUUUUUAUUUUUAGAGAGAGGGUCUUGCUCUGUCACCCAAGCUGGAGUGCAAUGGCGCCAUCAUAGCUCACUAUUAACCUUGAACUCCUGGGCUCAAGCGCUCCUCCCACCUCAGUCUCCUGAGUAGCUAGGACUACAGGCAUGCACCACCAUGCCCGAUUAAUUUUUUUUUUAAUUUUUAUUUUGUAGAUAUGGUGUCUCUCUAUGUUGCCUAGGCUGGUCUCAAAUUUCUGGCCUCAAGCGAUCCUCCCACCUUGGCCUCCCAAAGUGCUGGGAUUACAGGUGUGAAUCACUUAACAGUUCAUUUUUUUAAAUAACUAAGUCAACCUUUGCUCGUUUGCCAGUCAACUGGUUCCAGCUGUGUGUGAGUUGGGCCCUCAGAAGGGGCUGGGCUGGCUACUCUUCAGCCAGCUAAACCACGUCAGCAGUGAAUUUUACCAACUCACUGGCUGCUUCCUCAAAUCAGUGGUUGGGCACUCUUGGCACCAAAAAAAAAAAAAGAAAUGUGAAAGAUUCAGUAGCAAUCGUUUCCUCCUUGUCCGUUCCUGCCCCUCAUGGCUCGUCACAGCCAGGAUGGGGAGGUGCUCCCCAAACCCCUACCCAGCUAGCCUUUGCCCAGAGGCCGGCCCAUCUCUUCACUUCCUUGUUUCUUUGUGAAACAGGAACUGAGCAAGCAGCUUAAGUCGGGUAGGAUGGGUGGUUGAGAAAGCCCCAGUGGUCCGUGGCAAGGCCACGAAGCUGAAAAGCUGGUUUCUCUCCCAGCGGGUUCCAGGCAGCUUCAGGCCCUCUUGUUUGUCACACCUCUUUUGUUCUAGAACAACUUGGGCUGAGGGAUGUGCCCUUGACAAGGUGGAGACAUAGGAUAUGGGCCACAGGGUCAUUUGGCAGAGAUUCGGAUGUGGACCACAAGAGACAUAGAAGCAGGUGCCAGGCCGGGCGCGGUGGCUCACGCCUAUAAUCCCAGCUCUUUAGGAGGCCGAGGAGGGUGGAUCACCUGAGGUCAGGGGUUCAAGACCAGCUUGGUCUGGCAACAUGGUCGGCAACGUGGUGAAACCCUGUCUCUACUAAAAAUACAAAAACUAGCUGGGCGUGGUGGCAGGCGCCUGUAAUCCCAGCUACUUGGGAGGCUGAGACAGGAGAAUUGCUUGAAUCCAGGAGGUGGAGGUUGCAGUGAGCCGAGAUCUUACCACUACACUCCAGCCUGGGGCCACAGAGUGAGACUCUGUCUAAAAAAAAAGAAGAAGAAGAAGAAGGUUCCAAGGGGACACCAAGGGAGAAGGCAGCAGCUCCAAACAGUCACCAAGGUCCUCCUGUAUUUAGCGAGGGGAGAAACUCCAGGUGGAGCUUGAAGUGAACUGAUGUGGAGUCACUCACCAGGUACCCAGCACUUUCUACUAGCUGGGCACUGGGCUAAGAGCACUCCCUCUAUGCAUGUCACCUGAGUAGUAACCCUAGUCACACCCACAGGAAAGGCCCAUAUUAUACAUUAUCACUGUUACUGUCUUCACUAAGGCUCAUUGCAGGUGACAUCACUUGCCCAAGGUUAUGCAGCCAAUAGCUGACCAUACAACAAUCUGAAUCCAGUCAGGACCACCUGACUCCAUUUCUGAGCGGUGUUCUGCUCCUCCUCUUCCCUGGAGCCCUGGACAAUUGUCCCCAUGGGGCAGGGGCCCACUGAUCAGAGACAUUUGUCCGUGUAACCUUGGGACAGAGAUUUAUGCAGAGUAGCCCAGCACUUACUUGUCCCCCAUAGAAAGUGCCCCCCACACCAGUGAGUCAUGAGUGUGUUUUAAUCUGAGCACCAAAGUCCAGCCUCCUCUUCUAAUGGUACUUGACAGAGCUACCAGCAGGUGUUUUUGGUUUUGUUUUAAAACCAAGACCUUAUCACGAGUUCAGAGUUCCAAAGAUCACUGUCUUUCCCUCCCCUCCCA
rnacentral:lncRNA from 1 species